UGUGUGUGUGUGUAUAAUGAAAAGAAGAAGACAAAGAACAUUCUUUAACACAUCUUUAAUUAUAAGUUAUACAUGCUUCAGUACCAUCUCCAUUUGCAACGUCAGUUUGCGUUAAAAUUCUAAAAGAAAAAUCACGUAAUAUUUCCGGU